CCUACGGGGCGCAGCAGUGGGGAAUAUUGGACAAUGGGCGAAAGCCUGAUCCAGCCAUGCCGCGUGUGUGAAGAAGGCCUUCGGGUUGUAAAGCACUUUCAGUGGGGAAGAAAGCCUUGGGGCUAAUACCCUCGAGGAAGGACAUCACCCACAGAAGAAGCACCGGCUAACUCCGUGCCAGCAGCCACGGUAAUACGGAGGGUGCGAGCGUUAAUCGGAAUUACUGGGCGUAAAGCGCGCGUAGGCGGUCUGAUAAGCCGGUUGUGAAAGCCCCGGGCUCAACCUGGGAACGGCAUCCGGAACUGUCAGGCUAGAGUGCAGGAGAGGAAGGUAGAAUUCCCGGUGUAGCGGUGAAAUGCGUAGAGAUCGGGAGGAAUACCAGUGGCGAAGGCGGCCUUCUGGACUGACACUGACGCUGAGGUGCGAAAGCGUGGGUAGCAAACAGGAUUAGAUACCCCAGUAGUC
rnacentral:rRNA from 1 species